GACGAACGCUGGCGGCGUGCUUAACACAUGCAAGUCGAACGGAAAGGCCCUGCUUUUGUGGGGUGCUCGAGUGGCGAACGGGUGAGUAACACGUGAGUAACCUGCCCUUGACUUUGGGAUAACUUCAGGAAACUGGGGCUAAUACCGGAUAGGAGCUCCUGCUGCAUGGUGGGGUUGGAAAGUUUCGGCGGUUGGGGAUGGACUCGCGGCUUAUCAGCUUGUUGGUGGGGUAGUGGCUUACCAAGGCUUUGACGGGUAGCCGGCCUGAGAGGGUGACCGGCCACAUUGGGACUGAGAUACGGCCCAGACUCCUACGGGAGGCAGCAGUGGGGAAUAUUGCACAAUGGGCGGAAGCCUGAUGCAGCAACGCCGCGUGCGGGAUGACGGCCUUCGGGUUGUAAACCGCUUUCGCCUGUGACGAAGCGUGGGUGACGGUAAUGGGUAAAGAAGCACCGGCUAACUACGUG
rnacentral:rRNA from 1 species